CUCAUCUGGAUUUUAUGGAAACUGGGUGGUUCUCUCUCAGAAAAGACUGCCAGCAGUGUCAUUCUGAUCUGCCACAUGGAUUGUUGCGCAAGUCACCGAAUGUUCAUCCAUUGGAUACAGAAGUCAGUCUAUCUAGGUACAGACUGGGCGAGGAAAAAGGAGGAUGGUCUUUUGAACGUUUGGUCCACUGUACACUACAGAUGAGGAUGGCUUUAAUUGGUGCUAGCUACCAAUGAAAUAACCUGAGAGGAUGGAUAACUGAAGCAACAGUGAAUUUGCUUAGAGGAUCAGCUAGAACAGUGAAACUGAUUUCUAAAGAAAUAUGCAGAUCAUACAAUGAAACUAUUGUGUAGCUACAGGUUUCAGCUGUUGAUGCCUUUUGGCUCAUGUAUAUAUGUUCUGUAGCAUGCAACAUGGGGGGAGGGGCACUCCAUGAAUUUCGAGACUGUGAUGGAGGACAGGUGACAGCAAAUUGCCAGAUCGUCCUCUGUGCAAAUCUACUGAGGAACACAAUCUGCAGGGGGACAAGUCUCACAGGGGAUCCCCCAGGCCUUCCCCAAAGAGCAGCAGCAUGAGGAGCGACUGACUCCAACGCCGAUUUCAGUGUUGCAGGAUAGGCUCCCAUCCCCUCGGGGUCCAUACUUCAGAUUACCCUUCACAUGAACUGCCUUGCAAAACACAAGAUUCUUCUCUGUCAAAGACAUUAUUUCCAUUGCUUCUGAGAAGAGCUUUGAAUUCUGGUUUAUCCCUGUUUUUUGUUCAUACACAUCAAUGAUGGUGCCAUUGAAGAGAACCGGAAAGCGGUAUCCUUUGAGGAAAUUUGUGGACAUUUUCAGCACAAACUGUGCAUUCAAGAAGGAUGAUGCUUUCCUUUUCUUGGUGAGGUCCCAUAACUCCUGUCAUUUGUCUUCCAGUUACACUCCCCAUCCUUUAAGACCUUCUUCCUCAGUGUGUAUAUAUGAGUUCAGAAUAUAAAUUGUGUUAGGUUUCAGCGUGUCCUCUGGACUCAUCUGCCUGUGAUGACUUGGGUCAAUUUUCUGCUAUAUACAGGCAGAUAGCUUCUGUGUAGCCACUGAGACUGGGAGCAUUGCUCUCAUAUGUACUAUGGGAUCUUUUGGGGAAAAAAAGUCCUUCUGAAAGAUGAACAAUGUCUUCUUCUGAUGAGAUUAGGAUUACACUGAUUUUUGCUAUCUGCACUAGU